rnacentral:rRNA from 1 species
UACGUAGGGGGCAAGCGUUGUCCGGAAUUAUUGGGCGUAAAGAGCGCGUAGGCGGUCCGAUAAGUCGGCUGUGAAAGUCAGGGGCUCAACCCUUGAAAGCCGGCCGAUACUGUCGGACUAGAGUCCGGAAGAGGCAAGUGGAAUUCCCGGUGUAGCGGUGAAAUUCGUAGAUAUUCGCAAGAACACCAGUGGCGAAGGCGGCUCACUGGCCCGGUACUGACGCUGAGGUGCGAAAGCGUGGGGAGCAAACAGG